rnacentral:rRNA from 1 species
AUACGUAGGGGGCGAGCGUUGUCCGGAAUUAUUGGGCGUAAAGGGUUCGCAGGCGGCCGAUUAAGUCAGAUGUGAAAUCCCACGGCUUAACCGUGGUAAGCAUUUGAAACUGAUUGGCUUGAGUUAAGGAGAGGAAAGUGGAAUUCCUAGUGUAGCGGUGAAAUGCGUAGAUAUUAGGAGGAAUACCAGUGGCGAAGGCGACUUUCUGGACUUAUACUGACGCUGAGGAACGAAAGCGUGGGGAGCAAACAGGAUUAGAUACCCUGGUAGUCCACGCCGUAAACGAUGAGUGCUAGGUGUCGGGGGUCAAACCUCGGUGCCGGAGCAAACGCAUUAAGCACUCCGCCUGGGGAGUACGUGCGCAAGCAUGAA